rnacentral:misc_RNA from 1 species
CCAAAUAAACCGGCCGAAAGGCCUUGCCCAACGGGGGGGAAACCCCCCGGACGGUAAACCCUUUGUGAAAACCCCCUUGUUUGCCUCGGCGGCACCCUUUCGAGGGGUCAGCCCGCCGACGGCACCAAACAGAAACCCUUUUUUUUGAAUUGAAGACUAGUCUGAAUCAAUGGUCGAAUGACUAUA